rnacentral:rRNA from 1 species
UACGUAGGGUCCGAGCGUUGUCCGGAAUUAUUGGGCGUAAAGGGCUCGUAGGCGGUUCGUCACGUCGGGAGUGAAAACUCGGAGCUUAACUCCGAGCCUGCUUUCGAUACGGGCAGACUAGAGGUAGGCAGGGGAGAGCGGAACUCCUGGUGUAGCGGUGGAAUGCGCAGAUAUCAGGAGGAACACCGGUGGCGAAGGCGGUUCUCUGGGCAUUACCUGACGCUGAGGAGCGAAAGUGUGGGGAGCGAACAGG